AAUAAAAUGUUUAUUUUUAGGCAAUUGCCUUACAAGUUAGCUGCAACUAAGGGUCUGACAAUUUCUACCUUAACUGGCCUCUCCAAAGAGACCCGUACCUCACACGUCUACAUUUGGGUUUACUAUUACCACAAUUUUCUUUAGCUUUAGCUGUUGUUGCUAGAAUUUAAAUGUUUAUAUCUUUUUUUACUUGUUUACUCUGUAAAUUCACUAAAACUUACCACGGUCUUACUGGGUAAUUAAUAAAUUUCAAUACAUACUUCCUUCUAGUUGUAGAGAUUCUAUUUAACACAACAUUUUGGAGAUGUAAAACAGUAAAAGUAGAACAGAGAUUGGUUUUUGUAAGGACAGGGAUCAGGAGAGGAAAUGACUACAAACAAGCCUAAAAUGCUUUUAGACUCACUUCUCAUAUUAAAAAGGGUAAAUUGUGCUAUAUGUGAACAAAUUCACUAAUGACCAUGAAACAAAUGCACACGAUUAGUGAUAUAGGAAGCUGAACUGAUGGCAUGGAACUGAAUUAUGUUUUCUUCAAUAUUCUGUAGCAUGCAGGUUAACCAGCAAGAUGUCUAUCUAUAUUUUGAUGAAUUAUAAAGAAAACAGUUAAAAGGUAACACAAACUGCAGAUUGCAUGGAAGUCUGCAAACAGGGUAGUCACAUAGAGGGACAUUACCUUGCAAUACAAGACUUCUACCUAACACUAAGUAGGCAAGCGACCUGAAGAAGCUACAAUCAGUGCGGGAUCCCAGACACUCUUCCAGCAUCUUUGACGAGAUACCAGUUUUACACAGCCUAUCCUUGAGUACACAGCCAAGCGCUGACUUGAAUGAAUAAAUAAAGAUAUGUUCACUACCCCUGCAUUCUUUCUGUUACAACUAUUGGGGCUUUGCUUCUUGCCUAAAAAAGCCAACCAUAUCUAUCUUAGAAAGAGACUAUCCCAGUGAAAUUAGGUGCCAACGGAGUGUCAGUACCACAUUGUUGCUUACUGUCUUCUCUUAACAAGGCAUACAUUCCCAAUGAUUCUGAGAGAAUGUACAGCUACAACACUCCAUUUGACUGUUUUAGAAUCAGUCUUUCUCAGUAUUCCUUUGUGAAACAACACAGAAGCAGAGAAACCACCGCUCCAACUGAGUUUUAGAUGCAACAACACCCAUGGUUCUUCUACAAUGUACUUCUGUUUGAGAGGCAAAAUAUACUAAUUAACCCCACCAAUUACUAAAGAAAUGGAAGCUGGGGACCGAACCCAGGGCCUUAGCAAGCGCUCUACCACUGAGCUAAAUCCCCAACCCCAUCUCUCAAAUUUUUUAACUAAAAAGCAAGCUUCAGGAUGAAUAUAAAA